UCCAGACUCCUACGGGAGGCAGCAGUGGGGAAUAUUGCACAAUGGGGGAAACCCUGAUGCAGCGACGCCGCGUGAGUGAAGAAGUAUUUCGGUAUGUAAAGCCCUAUCAGCAGGAACGAGACAAGACGGUACCUGACUAAGAAGCCCCGGCUAACUACGUGCCAGCAGCCGCGGUAAUACGUAGGGGGCAAGCGUUAUCCGGAAUCACUGGGUGUAAAGGGAGCGUAGACGGCUGUGCAAGCCUGAAGUGAAAGGCGGGGGCCCAACCCCUGGACUGCUUUGGGAACUGUACGGCUGGAGUGCAGGAGAGGUAAGUGGAAUUCCUAGUGUAGCGGUGAAAUGCGUAGAUAUUGCGCAGAACUCCGAUUGCGAAGGCAGCAUACCGGCGGCGAUCUGACGCUGAGGCACGAAAGCGUGGGUAUCGAACAGGAUUAGAUACCCCCGUAAG
rnacentral:rRNA from 1 species